GACUUCUGGUUUAAUGCACCUGGCCCGCGGCCCACAAGGCCUGUGAGUGCCGGCGCGCGUUUACCAUCCUUCCAGCAACGGCUACCGAAUCCAAGAAUUUCACCUCUGACCGGCCAAUACUAGCACCCCCAACUAUCCCUAUCAAUCAUUACUUCAGUUAUAGAAACCAACAAAAUAGAACCGAAGUCCUAGAUUAUUAUUCCAUGCUAAUGUAUUCAGAGCAAACGCCUGCUUUAAACACUCUAAUUUUUUCAAAGUAAAAGAUCCAGUUCCAGCCGCCCAGUUAAGGUCAAGACUAACUUAUGCGAAAGCAUU
rnacentral:rRNA from 1 species